GACGAACCGUGCAAACGUUAUUCGGAUUCACUGGGCUUAAAGGGCGCGUAGGCGGGCCAUCAAGUCAGGGGUGAAAUCUUUCGGCUCAACCGGAAAAGUGCCUUUGAUACUGGUGGUCUCGAGGGAGGUAGGGGCAUGCGGAACUUCCGGUGGAGCGGUGAAAUGCGUAGAUAUCGGAAGGAACGCCGGUGGCGAAAGCGGCGUGCUGGACCUCUUCUGACGCUGAGGCGCGAAAGCUAGGGGAGCAAACGGG
rnacentral:rRNA from 1 species